GAAAACCGUACCAAAACCUGACUGUGUCCAGUCCCAAUAGUUGUUUAGUUUUAACAAACGCGAGUGAGGAUGGAAAGAUACACGGCGAGGGUCAGAGAGGUGUAUGGAGGGAGAGACAGAGAGAGAGAAGGAUGCGAGGAGAAGAAAGAGGUGUGUCCUGACCAACCACAAUCUGGCAAGCCCCCUUCACCUUUCCCAACCCGCGUACCCCUCUACAGACGUCAGAGAGCAACUGAGUGUGUUAAUGGCUCUAUGGGAAAAGCAAAAGGGGGGAGAGAGAGAAAGAAUGACACACCGCAGGAAGAUAAUCAUUGGGCAAUAAAAUGACGUCUCAGAAUCUUUCUCACAAUGCAGCAAACACUAGCAUGUACGAACACACGUGCACAGGAAACCACAACACUGCUGGAUUACACCUCUGCCAAAUGAUAUUCAGUCACAUGGAGGAAAGAACAGUAAAUCUGUUGUAUACAAGCCAAUAAGUACACUAGGGCUAUAUAAAAUUAUAGAUUUUCUGAUUAAUCUUAAUUUGAUUUUUAAAAUCCCAAGAUCGAUCUUUUGCUUUAUGCCUGUGUUUCCUGUGUACUUUUCAGCAUUGCUGCACCCCUGCUGCUGAAUCUACAAGCCCACUGCAAAAGAAGUCAUUUUAACAGAGUCUGAAUUAAAUAUGAUAAAAUAACAAA